CACUUCUUUGUAUUUUUAGUUGUAGAUCUCCUCCUUUGGGCUCUACUCCUUCUGACUUCUUUAAAAGGCCAGAGCCACCUGUCACAAAAGCUUCACCACCUCAGCAUCAAUCUCCUCCCUUGGGCUUCAUUCAAAAGUUGAGGGCUCCACCUCUUCAUCGUAGAUCUGCUCCCUCGGAUUCCUUUAAAAGAUCAGAUCCCCCUGCUGCCAAAGGUUUACCUCAACAUCAAGAUUCUCCCACAAGCUCCUCGACAGUAAAUGGAGUGAGCCCAUGAGAAGAACAGAAGAACGCUACUGCAAAGAGUACAGUAUCGAUGU